rnacentral:siRNA from 1 species
AUCCGGAGGACCGAGUGCCGCUC